UUGUGUUCCACCCGUUCCAUUUUGAAGUGCCUUCCUUUUGCAGAAGCUGGAUGAGAAGCAAGAACCAGACAGGACUGUUCCAGUUAGAACAGAUCCUUCUUUCUAGCUUAGCCUGGAUGUACCUUAGGGCCGUCCUUAGGGCAGGGUGACUGGGGCGAUUGCCCCAAGCCCCACGCUGGGACAGGCCCCGCUCUGGGCACACUGCAGUGCAGCCUGCCCUCCUCUCUCCCCAAGUCCCAGUCCUAGUCACUUAUCUUUCCCCGCAAGCAGCUCAGCCAGAGCCAAUUUUUUGUGUGGAUGAGCAGCUUGAAAGGCUCCCAGGCAAGCCGCUAGAACUCCUUCUCUCUCUGCCUCUCAGCUGCUUGGUGGGUGGGCGGGGCUUCAAGAGAGGCCUCCAUGCAGGCCUUGCUGAAGUCUGAAGCUCAGGAAGGAGAGAAGGAGGCAGGCCGAGUGUCCAGCGCUGGCUGCCGUAGCCCACCACAGCUCUCUGCGGAUCCUCUGCCCAGCCCUGCCCAGCCUUUGUCUGGUUAGUCAUAGAGAUAAUUCUCCAUCAUGUAUCACUUUCCAAGAGCCUAGGCUGUUGACUCCAGAGAUGGGAUUAUCAUCACUCAUUGAUAAAUGCAUGCAUGCAAGAUUACAGACAGACCGAUUCCAC